rnacentral:rRNA from 1 species
UAACAAGGUCUCCGUUGGUGAACCAGCGGAGGGAUCAUUACCGAGUUUACAACUCCCAAACCCCUGUGAACAUACCUUAUGUUGCCUCGGCGGAUCAGCCCGCGCCCCGUAAAAAGGGACGGCCCGCCGCAGGAACCUUAAACUCUGUUUUUAGUGGAACUUCUGAGUAUAAAAAACAAAUAAAUCAAAACUUUCAACAACGGAUCUCUUGGUUCUGGCAUCGAUGAAGAACGCAGCAAAAUGCGAUAAGUAAUGUGAAUUGCAGAAUUCAGUGAAUCAUCGAAUCUUUGAACGCACAUUGCGCCCGCCAGUAUUCUGGCGGGCAUGCCUGUUCGAGCGUCAUUUCAACCCUCAAGCCCAGCUUGGUGUUGGGAGCUGCAGUCCUGCUGCACUCCCCAAAUACAUUGGCGGUCACGUCGAGCUUCCAUAGCGUAGUAAUUUACAUAUCGUUACUGGUAAUCGUCGCGGCCACGCCGUUAAACCCCAACUUCUGAAUGUUGACCUCGGAUCAGGUAGGAAUACCCGCUGAACUUAAGCAUAUCA